GCAGUGGUGAUUCAGUGGUAGAAUCCUAGCCUUCCAUGUGGGAGACCCGGGUUCAAUUCCCGAUCAAUGUA
rnacentral:tRNA from 1 species